AUGAACGCUAGCGACAGGCUUAACACAUGCAAGUCGAGGGGUAACAGGUAGCAAUACCGCUGACGACCGGCGCACGGGUGAGUAACGCGUAUGCAACCUGCCUAUAACUGGGGAAUAGCUCCCUGAAAGGGGAAUUAACACCGCAUAACACUAUUGAUUCGCAUGGAUUGGUAGUUAAAUGUAGCGAUACAGGUUAUAGAUGGGCAUGCGUGACAUUAGCUAGUUGGUGAGGUAACGGCUCACCAAGGCUACGAUGUCUAGGGGUUCUGAGAGGAAGGUCCCCCACACUGGUACUGAGACACGGACCAGACUCCUACGGGAGGCAGCAGUGAGGAAUAUUGGUCAAUGGGCGCAAGCCUGAACCAGCCAUGUCGCGUGCAGGAAGACUGCCCCCUAUGGGUUGUAAACUGCUUUUAUAGUAGAAGAAACACAUCUACGUGUAGAUGUCUGCCAGUAUACUAUGAAUGAGCAUCGGCUAACUCCGUGCCAGCAGCCGC
rnacentral:rRNA from 1 species